rnacentral:rRNA from 1 species
GACGAACGCUGGCGGCGUGCCUAAUACAUGCAAGUAGAACGCUGAAGGAGGAGCUUGCUUCUCUGGAUGAGUUGCGAACGGGUGAGUAACGCGUAGGUAACCUGCCUGGUAGCGGGGGAUAACUAUUGGAAACGAUAGCUAAUACCGCAUAAGAGUAGAUGUUGCAUGACAUUUGCUUAAAAGGUGCAAUUGCAUCACUACCAGAUGGACCUGCGUUGUAUUAGCUAGUUGGUGGGGUAACGGCUCACCAAGGCGACGAUACAUAGCCGACCUGAGAGGGUGAUCGGCCACACUGGGACUGAGACACGGCCCAGACUCCUACGGGAGGCAGCAGUAGGGAAUCUUCGGCAAUGGACGGAAGUCUGACCGAGCAACGCCGCGUGAGUGAAGAAGGUUUUCGGAUCGUAAAGCUCUGUUGUAAGAGAAGAACGAGUGUGAGAGUGGAAAGUUCACACG